GAUGAACGCUGACAGAAUGCUUAACACAUGCAAGUCCACUUGAAUUUGGGUUUUUUAACUUAGAUUUGGGUGGCGGACGGGUGAGUAACGCGUAAAGAACUUGCCUCACAGCUAGGGACAACAUUUGGAAACGAAUGCUAAUACCUGAUAUUAUGAUUAUAAGGCAUCUUAGAAUUAUGAAAGCUAUAUGCGCUGUGAGAGAGCUUUGCGUCCCAUUAGCUAGUUGGAGAGGUAACGGCUCACCAAGGCGAUGAUGGGUAGCCGGCCUGAGAGGGUGAACGGCCACAAGGGGACUGAGACACGGCCCUUACUCAUACGGGAGGCAGCAGUGGGGAAUAUUGGACAAUGGACCAAGAGUCUGAUCCAGCAAUUCUGUGUGCACGAUGACGUUUUUCGGAAUGUAAAGUGCUUUCAGUUGGGAAGAAAAAAAUGACGGUACCAACAGAAGAAGUGACGGCUAAAUACGUG
rnacentral:rRNA from 1 species